ACCCCUGUGACAUACCUAUACGUUGCCUCGGCGGAUCAGCCCGCGCCCCGUAAAACGGGACGGCCCGCCCGAGGACCCCUAAACUCUGUUUUUAGUGGAACUUCUGAGUAAAACAAACAAAUAAAUCAAAACUUUCAACAACGGAUCUCUUGGUUCUGGCAUCGAUGAAGAACGCAGCAAAAUGCGAUAAGUAAUGUGAAUUGCAGAAUUCAGUGAAUCAUCGAAUCUUUGAACGCACAUUGCGCCCGCCAGUAUUCUGGCGGGCAUGCCUGUUCGAGCGUCAUUUCAACCCUCAAGCUCAGCUUGGUGUUGGGACUCGCGGUAACCCGCGUUCCCCAAAUCGAUUGGCGGUCACGUCGAGCUUCCAUAGCGUAGUAAUCAUACACCUCGUUACUGGUAAUCGUCGCGGCCACGCCGUAAAACCCCAACUUCUGAAUGUUGACCUCGGAUCAGGUAGGAAUACCCGCUGAACUUAAGCAUA
rnacentral:rRNA from 2 species